rnacentral:rRNA from 1 species
UACGUAGGGAGCGAGCGUUAUCCGGAUUUAUUGGGUGUAAAGGGUGCGUAGGCGGCUUUAUAAGUCGGUGGUCUAAGUCCGAAGCUUAACUUCGGUUCGCCAUUGAAACUGUAGAGCUUGAGUAUGGAAGAGGUAAGUGGAAUUUCUAGUGUAGCGGUUAAAUGCGUAGAUAUUAGAAGGAACACCAGUGGCGAAAGCGACUUACUGGUCCACUACUGACGCUGAGGCACGAAAGCGUGGGGAGCAAAUAGG